rnacentral:piRNA from 1 species
UGGUCCAGAAUUCACAGAGAUUUGCCUUUCC